rnacentral:rRNA from 1 species
UAAACUAGGAUUAGAUACCCUAUUAUUUUGAAUGUAAAAUUAUUGCCUGAGUAGUAUUUGAUAUGUUCUUGAAAUUUAAACAAUUUGGCGGUGUUUUAGUCUAUUUAGAGGAACCUGUUCUGUAAUUGAUGAUCCACGAUUAAUUGUACUUGUGCUUUAUGUUUAUAUACCGUCGUAGUUCGAAUAUUUCAGGAGGAUAUAAUAUUCAAGAUUUAUUUAAUAAAGGAAAUCAGAUCAAGGUAUAGCUCAUGCACGAGAAGAAAUGGGUUACAAUAUAUAUAUAUAUACGGUUUACUUGAUGAAAUUUGGGUAUUAAGGCGGAUUUAAUAGUAAUUAUGACAAUUUUGUUAUGAUGAUUGUAGCUCUAAUACAUGCACAUAUCGCCCGUCACUCCAAUUACAAUGUUGGAUAAGUCGUAACACAGUAGGUGUACCGGAAGGUGUACCUCGAGUGCGGGCUGGAGCUUGUUAAAGCAUUUUAUUUACAUUAAGAAGUAAUCUGUUAAAUUCAGGUUAGCUCGAGUUGAAAUUUUUAUUAGAAGGUUUUAGGUGAAAUAUCUUGAGGUUUUAGUGAGGUAAUUCGAACAAAUUAAAUUUAUUAUAGUUGAAUUGUACAGUGAUGGGUAAUUUUGUAAGCAUUUAGAAGAAGACUUUUAUCGUACCUUGUGUAUCAGGGUUUAUUAAAUUUGGGGCAUGGAUCUUGCUGUUCUCGAUGUGAAAAGAUUUAGAAGGUUAUUUAUUUUACUGUUACAUAAGUAUUUAUAAUAGCUUUUUGGUAGUGAAACGUUAUUCGGUUUUCGGGGUAUCUAGUUAUUCAGGAAAUAAAUUUAAUUUUGCCAGCUUUAUAUUAAGACCAAUUUAUUGGUUUAGUUGUGUUGCUGAGUAAUACUUAAGGGGAUAAGCUUUUAAGUAGAAUUCUAUAAUUUUUUAUGUUUACAAUUAAUCGUAGGAUUAGAAGUUUCCAUCGAUAAUAUGGUGUUAUAACAGUUUUUUGUUUUAUUUGAUUUAAAUUAAAUUUAGGUUGUUUACUGAAUUAAUUUGUUUAAUUUUAGUUCUUUUGCAAUAAUGAUGGAAUUAGUAUAUUAUAAUGUAUAAUUAAUUGUAUGUGUUAGAUUAUUUUAAGGAACUCGGCAAAUAUUUUUUCGCCUGUUUAUUAAAAACAUGUCCUUUUGAUGAUGAUUUAAGGUCUGGCCUGCCCACUGAUGAAAUUUAAAGGCCGCGGUAUUUUGACCGUGCAAAGGUAGCAUAAUAAUUAGUUUUUUAAUUGGAAGCUGGAAUGAAUGGUCGGACGAGAAAAAUACUGUCUCAAAUUAAUUAGUAGAAUUUUAUCUUUGAGUUAAAAAGCUCAAAUGGUUUUAAAAGACGAGAAGACCCUAUAGAGUUUUAUAUUUGUUUGGUUAUUUAUGUUUUGGUAAUAUUAAUUAAAUUGUUAGGCAAGUAUUUUGUUGGGGCGACAGAAAAAUUGACUUAACUUUUUCUUUAUUAUUACAUUAAUUUAUGGUUAGUUGAUCCGUUUUUUACGAUUAUAAGAUUAAAUUACCUUAGGGAUAACAGCGUUAUUCCUUUUGAGAGUUCUUAUCGAAAAAGGAGUUUGCGACCUCGAUGUUGGAUUAAAAUUUACUGUUGGUGCAGUAGCUGAUAGGUUAGGUCUGUUCGACCUUUAAAAUUUUACAUGAUCUGAGUUAAAAACCGGAGA